AACGAACGUUGGCGGCGUGGAUUAGGCAUGCAAGUCGAACGAAUCCUUUGGGGCUUGCUCCAAAGGGGAAGUGGCGAAAGGGGCAGUAAUGCGUGGGUAACCUACCUCGGGGACGUGGAUAGCCUUCCUAACGGAAGGGUAAUACACGGCGAUCUGUCUGGGAGACAUCUCCCGGCCAGGAAAUGAAUUUCGCCUCGAGAGGGGCUCACGUCGUAUUAGCUUGUUGGUGGGGUAACGGCCUACCAAGGCGAAGAUGCGUAGCGGGUGUGAGAGCACGACCCGCGCCACUGGCACUGAGACACUGGCCAGACUCCUACGGGAGGCUGCAGUCGAGGAUCUUCGGCAAUGGGCGCAAGCCUGACCGAGCGACGCCGCGUGUGCGAUGAAGGCCUUCGGGUUGUAAAGCACUGUCGAGGGGGAGUAAGCCGAAAGGUUGAACUAUCCCUGGAGGAAGCACGGGCUAAGUUCGUGCCAGCAGCCGCUGUAAUAC
rnacentral:rRNA from 1 species